AUUGAACGCUGGCGGAAUGCUUUACACAUGCAAGUCGAACGGCAGCACGGACUUCAGUCUGGUGGCGAGUGGCGAACGGGUGAGUAAUAUAUCGGAACGUGCCCAGUCGUGGGGGAUAACGUAGCGAAAGCUACGCUAAUACCGCAUACGAUCUACGGAUGAAAGCGGGGGAUCGCAAGACCUCGCGCGAUUGGAGUGGCCGAUAUCAGAUUAGGUAGUUGGUGAGGUAAAGGCUCACCAAGCCGACGAUCUGUAGCUGGUCCGAGAGGACGACCAGCCACACUGGGACUGAGACACGGCCCAGACUCCUACGGGAGGCAGCAGUGGGGAAUUUUGGACAAUGGACGCAAGUCUGAUCCAGCCAUUCCGCGUGCAGGACGAAGGCCUUCGGGUUGUAAACUGCUUUAGUACAGAACGAAAAGGUCUCUAUUAAUACUAGGGGCUCAUGACGGUACUGUAAGAAUAAGCACCGGCUAACUACGUGCCAGCCGCCGCCGUAA
rnacentral:rRNA from 1 species